UAACCUGUGAAGAUGGUUCGCUACUCUCUUGACCCAGAAAACCCCACAAAAUCAUGCAAAUCAAGAGGUCCAAACCUUCGUGUUCACUUUAAGAACACCCGAGGAAACUGCCCAGGCCAUCACGGAUAUGCAUAUCCGCAAAGACACCAAGUAUCUGAAGGAUGUCACUUUAAAGAAGCAGUGUGUGCCAUUCCGGCGGUAUAAUAGUGGAGUCGUAGGUGCGCCCAGGCCAAACAGUGGGGCUGGACACAGAGACGGUGGCCAAAAAGGCAUGCUGAAUUUUUGCUGCACAUGCUUAAAACUGCAGAGAGUAAUGCUGAACGUAAGGGUUUAGAUGUAAAUUCUCUAGUCAUUGAACACAUAAGAUGUGCCGACGAACCUACCGAGCUCAUGGCCGGAUUAAUGCACACACGAGCUCCCCCUGACACACUGAGAUGAUAAUCCUCACUGAGAAGGAACAGACUGUUCCAAAGCCUGAAGAGGAGGUUGCACAGAAGAAAAAGUUAUCCCAGAAGAAACAAAAACUCAUGGCACGGGAAUAA